rnacentral:rRNA from 1 species
AUGAACGCUGGCGGCGUGCCUAAUACAUGCCAGUCGAGCGAACAGAUGAGGAGCUUGCUCCUCUGACGUUAGCGGCGGACGGGUGAGUAACACGUGGAUAACCUACCUAUAAGACUGGGAUAACUUCGGGAAACCGGAGCUAAUACCGGAUAAUAUAUUGAACCGCAUGGUUCAAUAGUGAAAGACGGUUUUGCUGUCACUUAUAGAUGGAUCCGCGCCGCAUUAGCUAGUUGGUAAGGUAACGGCUUACCAAGACGACGAUGCGUAGCCGACCUGAGAGGGUGAUCGGCCACACUGGAACUGAGACACGGUCCAGACUCCUACGGGAGGCAGCAGUAGGGAAUCUUCCGCAAUGGGCGAAAGCCUGACGGAGCAACGCCGCGUGAGUGAUGAAGGUCUUCGGAUCGUAAAACUCUGUUAUUAGGGAAGAACAAAUGUGUAAGUAACUAUGCACGUCUUGACGGUACCUAAUCAGAAAGCCACGGCUAACUACGUG